rnacentral:tRNA from 2 species
UCCCUCGUGGCGCAAUUGGCUAGCGCGUUCGACUGUUACCUGCAAAGAGCAUCGAGAGGUUGGUGGUUCGAGCCCACCCGAGGGAG